CCCUUAGAUGUUCUGGGCUGCACGCGCGCUACACUGUCGGAUUCAGCGAGUCAUAUCCUUAACCGAAAGGUUUGGGUAAUCUUUUGAAAGUCCGACGUGAUGGGGAUUGAUCAUUGCAAUUAUUGAUCAUGAGCGAGGAAUUCCUAGUAAGCGCGAGUCAUCAGCUCGCGUUGAUUACGUCCCUGCCCUUUGUACACACCGCCCGUCGCUACUACCGAUUGAAUGGUUUAGUGAGAUCUUCGGAUUGGCGCCUACGCGGCUUCUCUGAGGCCACGCUGGAUGCCGAAAAGUUGCUCAAACUGUAUCAUUUAGAGGAAGUAAAAGUCGUAACA
rnacentral:rRNA from 1 species